GCGAGAGUGGUGAAACUGGUAGACACGUCAGACUUAGGAUCUGGCGCCCUUGGCGUAAGGGUUCGAGUCCCUUCUCUCGCA
rnacentral:tRNA from 1 species